AUCCAUACACACCCCUUAACGUAUUCAUGACUAAAAACAACAACGAACAUUAAUCUUUCCACGUAUAUAUAUCUCUAAUAGAUUAAUAGAUUCUCUAUCACGUUUCUCGCCAUCUUUCUUCCUCAUCAUGAAUCGACGAUUGCCUAUCACAAACUAUAAGAAACAACUAGAUAAAGAAAUUGUAACAGAAAAACAUGAAGGCUUUGAAUCUCAGGUUUAUGGUGAAAGUUAAAUGGACGAGCUUCUUGAAGAGCAAGAAAGAAACCGAGGCUUGAAGGUUCUUGCAAGAAAUGCCACGGAGAAGAAACCUUGGACCUCAUGUUUGUCAUGUGCACUUUGAAGAAGUUUGUAACCUUCAGUUUAAGUUUUUUUAGGAUUUAGAAUAUUUGACAAGUUGUCUUGUAAACCACAUGAAUUUCUUCUUGAAAACUUGUACUUGAAUGAGAAAAUACUUUUGUAAUUCUUGCCAUAAACCUUGCCAUUUGAGAAUUGAAUGGAAAAAAUGAAUUUGUAAUUCUUUGGUUA